rnacentral:rRNA from 1 species
GACUAGCUGAGAGGAGGUGCAUGGCCGUCGUCAGUUCGUACUGUGAAGCAUCCUGUUAAGUCAGGCAACGAGCGAGACCCACGCCAACAGUUGCCAGCUCGUCCUCCCGGGGAUGGUGGGGACGACUGUUGGGACCGCCUCUGCUAAAGAGGAGGAAGGAAUGGGGCAACGGUAGGUCAGCAUGCCCCGAAUUAUCUGGGCUACACGCGGGCUACAAUGGGUGGGACAAUGGGUAUCGACACCGAAAGGUGAAGGCAAUCUCCUAGACCCAUCCGUAGUUCGGAUUGUGGGCUGCAACUCGCCCACAUGAAGCUGGAAUCUGUAGUAAUCGUGUCUCAAAAUGGCACGGUGAAUAUGUCCCUGCUCCUU